GACGAACGCUGGCGGCGUGCCUAAUACAUGCAAGUCGAACGAAGCUUUCUUUCACCGAAUGCUUGCAUUCACCGAAAGAAGCUUAGUGGCGAACGGGUGAGUAACACGUAGGCAACCUGCCCAAAAGAGGGGGAUAACACUUGGAAACAGGUGCUAAUACCGCAUAACCAUGAACACCGCAUGAUGUUCAUGUAAAAGACGGCUUUUGCUGUCACUUUUGGAUGGGCCUGCGGCGUAUUAACUUGUUGGUGGGGUAACGGCCUACCAAGGUGAUGAUACGUAGCCGAACUGAGAGGUUGAUCGGCCACAUUGGGACUGAGACACGGCCCAAACUCCUACGGGAGGCAGCAGUAGGGAAUCUUCCACAAUGGACGAAAGUCUGAUGGAGCAACGCCGCGUGAAUGAAGAAGGCCUUCGGGUCGUAAAAUUCUGUUGUCAGAGAAGAACGUGCGUGAGAGUAACUGUUCACGUAUUGACGGUAUCUGACCAGAAAGCCACGGCUAACUACGUGCCAGCAGCCGCGGUAAUACGUAGGUGGCGAGCGUUGUCCGGAUUUAUUGGGCGUAAAGGGAACGCAGGCGGUCUUUUAAGUCUGAUGUGAAAGCCUUCGGCUUAACCGAAGUAGUGCAUUGGAAACUGGAAGACUUGAGUGCAGAAGAGGAGAGUGGAACUCCAUGUGUAGCGGUGAAAUGCGUAGAUAUAUGGAAGAACACCAGUGGCGAAAGCGGCUCUCUGGUCUGUAACUGACGCUGAGGUUCGAAAGCGUGGGUAGCAAACAGAAUUAGAUACCCUGGUAGUCCACGCCGUAAACGAUGAGUGCUAAGUGUUGGAGGGUUUCCGCCCCUCAGUGCUGCAGCUAACGCAUUAAGCACUCCGCCUGGGGAGUACGGUCGCAAGACUGAAACUCAAAGGAAUUGACGGGGGCCCGCACAAGCGGUGGAGCAUGUGGUUUAAUUCGACGCAACGCGAAGAACCUUACCAAGUCUUGACAUCCUGCGACGGUGCUGGAAACAGUACUUUCCUUCGGGACGCAGAGACAGGUGGUGCAUGGUUGUCGUCAGCUCGUGUCGUGAGAUGUUGGGUUAAGUCCCGCAACGAGCGCAACCCUUAUGGUCAGUUACUACGCAAGAGGACUCUGGCCAGACUGCCGUUGACAAAACGGAGGAAGGUGGGGAGGACGUCAAAUCAUCAUGCCCUUUAUGACUUGGGCUACACACGUACUACAAUGGCGUUAAACAAAGAGAAGCAAGACCGCGAGGCGGAGCAAAACUCAGAAACAACGUCCCAGUUCGGACUGCAGGCUGCAACUCGCCUGCACGAAGUCGGAAUUGCUAGUAAUCGCAGAUCAGCAUGCUGCGGUGAAUAAAAUCCCGGGCCUUGUACU
rnacentral:rRNA from 1 species